AAGAUUGCAGAUGAGGAAGACACACAGUCAGAGAAGAUAGAGAAAUGGUCAGCGCUGGUUGAGAUUUUCUUACAUUUUUUUAAGGACUUUGUGAAAUGAAACUUCAGACAAGUAUAAUUCUGAGCACUAGCUUCACAGAGCAACCAGGGUCACUUACCCGAUUUUACCAGGUAAAAACAAGAAACUGCAAUCCAGGAGUUUCAACACUUCAAGCAAAACUAGAUCCAAAGGCUUGAAGACUUGUACAUAACUAUAAUCCAAAGGCUUGGAAACUUGAACCAAGAAUUGUAAUCCAAUCAAGAGGCCUUGAUCUUAAACAAGAAAGCAAAAUCAUUACCAAAGACCAGAACUCUUAACUUUGUGCUUCCAAGACAGGCAACUUGAUCCAUGAAACAACAACAAAGCAAGUCUUGGGACGGUGGAUCCUUGCACAAGCAGCCUAAAGCGAACCUUGUAAGCAAGAACUGAUGAGAGACUCGACCCCUCAUCAAAUGAAAAGACCUUGUCUGCAAUUUGCAAGCACCGAAAGAGCAAGUAAUCAGAAAUCAAUGUAUCAAAAGACUUUGGGAGAAGCCUAUAAAUCAAAUCAGCUCUGCAUUUUCCAAUUCUACAAACAGAAUAAAAAAGGCCCCUUGCCAGAGGUCCUGUUAACAAAGGAA